UACGUAGGGGGCAAGCGCUGUCCGGAAUUAUUGGGCGUAAAGCGCGCGCAGGCGGUUCUUUAAGUCUGAUGUGAAAGCCCACGGCUCAACCGUGGAGGGUCAUUGGAAACUGGGGAACUUGAGUACAGAAGAGGAAAGCGGAAUUCCACGUGUAGCGGUGAAAUGCGUAGAGAUGUGGAGGAACACCAGUGGCAAAGGCGGCUUUCUGGUCUGUAACUGACGCUGAGGCGCGAAAGCGUGGGGAGCAAACAGG
rnacentral:rRNA from 1 species